rnacentral:misc_RNA from 1 species
CUGAAUUAAUGGAGGGUUGUAGCUGGUUCCUUGGAAUAUGUGCUCGCCCUUCAAAUUCAUCUUAACCACCUGUGCACUUUUGUAGGCUACGAUAACUCUCAGUGGUAAAACACUGGAUUGAGAGACUUGCGCUUCAGCUGUCUUUCAACGUCGUAGUCUAUGUUUUAUCUCAUAUACUAAAGUCAUAGAAUGUUAUUGUAUGGGUCUACGACCUAUAAAAUUAUAUA